AGAACAAAACGAUGCAUGUCUAAGUCUGGAAACUGACCAAAAUUAGUCAUUAUGCAUUGCAGAAAAUGUUAUAACUUGAAGGGAAAAAAAUGUGACUCCCACUUGGAGAACAUCCAGCAUUCUUCCACACAAAGAUAGAUUCCACGAAUGAUCACUGCCCCCACCCCACCCCCCCACGAAAGGAGGUCACGGGUGGCUCAGGUCACAUUUCCUUGGAAAGCUGCCACACGAUUCUGGGUUGCUGGUCAUGUUAGCAGAGGUUCCAAGCUAAUGAAAUAUGACCGGACAUAGCCCACCAAGAGUACGGCAAGCAGACCUGAGAGGUAAGUGCCGUUCCAAGAUACAGGUGGCCUUUUUGGGUGGGGAGGGGGUACUUCAUUUUAAAAACUGUCCAAAAGGUUCAAAGCCCAUUUCAAGGGCUACAACUGAACCAAUGAAAAUGAUAAAGUUAAGCCAGAGACAGAAUUAUAAAAUUCUCUCAACUUUAAUCAGAUCCAAAAAGUUUCACAAAAAAUGUAACACUUAGUGAAGGGAGACUUUGUCAUUAAUAAAGAUCAGUAUUUGGAUUUUAUACAUUCUUCUGAUUAGGUCGCUGGAAAUUGUUUUGUUCUGGAUAGAUGCCACUUGUUUGUUUAUCUGGAUAGAAUUAAGAUAAAAAUGAAAAUGCAAAAAUACAAAAUUAACUGUAAACCACGUUUAUUUUGCUCUAAGUAGUGUUCUUGAAGCACUACAGCAUGGUAAACAAUGUAAAUUAGUACAAUUCAAUCUUGAAAGCCAUCAGAAUUAACAUGAGUUAUAAAGAUGCAGCCGACAGUAACCCAUAAAUAUUUCAACCACUUUCUCAAAACUUCGAUUUAAUGAAGGCUCACAAAUGAGCAACAAUCCUCAUUGAGGAAAACAAAAACCUGAUGUCGGCUAAGCGACAGCACACGCACGCGCACACGCCCACGAAAAAAAAAGGAAGAAAAAAAAAAAGGAAAAAUAAACAACUUUAUGUUCCCAUGGUAUUAAACUUGCUUUACAUUAGGGAUGAUAUGCACAUUAUCUUGCCGCGGAAAGAA